rnacentral:rRNA from 1 species
UCGAGCGGUAAGGCCUUUCGGGGUACACGAGCGGCGAACGGGUGAGUAACACGUGGGUGAUCUGCCCUGCACUCUGGGAUAAGCUUGGGAAACUGGGUCUAAUACCGGAUAUGACCGCAUGCCGCAUGGUGUGUGGUGGAAAGAUUUAUCGGUGCAGGAUGGGCCCGCGGCCUAUCAGCUUGUUGGUGGGGUAAUGGCCUACCAAGGCGACGACGGGUAGCCGACCUGAGAGGGUGACCGGCCACACUGGGACUGAGACACGGCCCAGACUCCUACGGGAGGCAGCAGUGGGGAAUAUUGCACAAUGGGCGGAAGCCUGAUGCAGCGACGCCGCGUGAGGGAUGAAGGCCUUCGGGUUGUAAACCUCUUUCAGCAGGGACGAAGCGUGAGUGACGGUACCUGCAGAAGAAGCACCGGCUAACUACGUGCCAGCAGCCGCGGUAAUACGUAGGGUGCGAGCGUUGUCCGGAAUUACUGGGCGUAAAGAGUUCGUAGGCGGUUUGUCGCGUCGUUUGUGAAAACCCGGGGCUCAACUUCGGGCUUGCAGGCGAUACGGGCAGACUUGAGUGUUUCAGGGGAGACUGGAAUUCCUGGUGUAGCGGUGAAAUGCGCAGAUAUCAGGAGGAACACCGGUGGCGAAGGCGGGUCUCUGGGAAACAACUGACGCUGAGGAACGAAAGCCUGGGUAGCAAACAGGAUUAGAUACCCUGGUAGUCCACGCCGUAAACGGUGGGCGCUAGGUGUGGGUUCCUUCCACGGGAUCUGUGCCGUAGCUAACGCAUUAAGCGCCCCGCCUGGGGAGUACGGCCGCAAGGCUAAAACUCCAAGGAAUUGACGGGGGCCCGCACAAGCGGCGGACCUGUGGAUUUAUUCGAUGCACCGCGAAGACCCUUACCUGGGUUUGACAU